rnacentral:rRNA from 1 species
GUUAAUGGCCAUGUUAUGUUGAAAACACUGGUUCUCGUCCGAUCACUGAAGAUGAGCGACGUCGAGCCGAGUUCGUACUCAGAUGGGUGACCUCUUGGGGUGACCUUUUGGGGCUGUAAACU